AGGACGAGAGGCAUUAAUGUACCGAAGACAACGUCAAAGGAGAUGGGUAUUAAAGAUUGAAGAAUCUGAGGAGUCAGAAGAGCUAGAGGAGAUGAAGUCCGACAUACGCAAUAAUGCAGUAGUAUAUAGUAACUGUACUUCAGAUUCAUUAUGGAUUGUAUUUUAUUUUCACUUCAUUCUACUUUAUCGUGUAUUUCAACUUUAUUUAUGUCAUUUUUAAU
rnacentral:lncRNA from 1 species